AUUGAACGCUGGCGGCAUGCUUUACACAUGCAAGUCGGACGGCAGCGCGGGCUUCGGCCUGGCGGCGAGUGGCGAACGGGUGAGUAAUACAUCGGAACGUGCCCAGUAGUGGGGGAUAGCUCGGCGAAAGCCGGAUUAAUACCGCAUACGACCUGAGGGUGAAAGCGGGGGACUUUAGGGCCUCGCGCUAUUGGAGCGGCCGAUGGCCGAUUAGCUAGUUGGUGGGGUAAAGGCCUACCAAGGCGACGAUCUGUAGCUGGUCUGAGAGGACGACCAGCCACACUGGGACUGAGACACGGCCCAGACUCCUACGGGAGGCAGCAGUGGGGAAUUUUGGACAAAGGGCGCAAGCCUGAUCCAGCAAUGCCGCGUGUGUGAUGAAGGCCUUCGGGUUGUAAAGCACUUUUGGCAGGAACGAAAAGUGCCGUGCUAAUACCACGGUACGAUGACGGUACCUGCAGAAUAAGCACCGGCUAACUACGUG
rnacentral:rRNA from 1 species